UACGUAGGGUGCAAGCGUUGUCCGGAAUUAUUGGGCGUAAAGAGCUCGUAGGCGGUUUGUCGCGUCUGCUGUGAAAACCCGAGGCUCAACCUCGGGCCUGCAGUGGGUACGGGCAGACUAGAGUGCGGUAGGGGAGAUUGGAAUUCCUGGUGUAGCGGUGGAAUGCGCAGAUAUCAGGAGGAACACCAAUGGCGAAGGCAGAUCUCUGGGCCGUAACUGACGCUGAGACACGAAAGCGUGGGUAGCAAACAGG
rnacentral:rRNA from 1 species